AUAUUCCAAUUGGACAGUUCAGGCAUGGACCAGGGCCUGGCUCUCCUCUCAGGGCCUUUCUCCUGUCUAAAUUUGGUGGGUGACCUCUGGCUGGAAAGAGGAAGUGAGGUGGUGGAAAGAGACAAGGUUUCUUCCUUCCCUGCAGGAGGCUGUGGCAAAAAGCCAGCAUUCACAUUCCACAGGCAAUCGAGAGCCACUGUGAAGUCUCUUCCUGAUAGACCAAACCAAAUUUAUGACUUCCAGAAAUCUCCAGAUCCAAGGGUCAAGGUUGUGUCGCUUUCAAUGGACAAGUUCUGCCCAGGUUCUUCAGUUUUGAGAAAAGGAAAACCAGUAACACAAAAUUCAAUACUUUUC
rnacentral:lncRNA from 1 species